CUGAGUUUUCAACUCUCCAAACCAUGUGAACUUACCACUGUUGCCUCGGUGGUUUGGGUCUUCGGGCCUGACCACCGGCGGACUACUAAACUCUUGUUAAUUUUUGGCACUCUGAAUCAUAACUAAGAAAUAAGUUA
rnacentral:misc_RNA from 1 species